rnacentral:lncRNA from 1 species
AUUAAUUAUGAUGUUGCCAGAGUAACGGCAAAUGUUAAAAGACUUAAUUUGAAUAAGGGAUAUAUAGUUGAACUAGGGAUUAACCCGGGCUACGCCCGGGAUUUUUAUUUUUUUCUAAUUUAAGUUGUUAAAUUAUUUAUAUUUAGGCUAUGAUUUAUAUUUAUAUAAAUGUUAAAAUGCAUGUCAUAAUUAAAUUUUAUUUUUAAAUUUUAACACGUUAAAUUAACGUAUUUUUUACUAUUUAAUAGUUUUUUGUAAUUUUAUUGGCUAUCUAGUUAUCAUAUUUAGCAAACUAUCUUUUGAGUGUUGGAAUAAAUGUUUUAGAGAUUUUAUUAAACUGCAGAGUAUUUUUGGAUCGACCAAUGCUCAACAUUCGAUCGAUCCGUAAAAGAUGGUCGAUCUCCUUGGCGAGGUAAGUACAAUUUUAGCAAAAAUAUCUUUUAUUUUCAAAUAUUAAGUAUAUAACUAUUCUUUUUAAUAUUUUUAAUUGUAUUUUUGAUUAAAUUAUUGUAUUAUAAUGGUUAUGUAAAUAUUUUUUGUGAUGUUUGAAUUUUUGUUGUUCGUAUACUAACCUAAUGAUAUUGAUGUUUAACAAUUUAUUGUUUUCUGGAAUAGAAAAUAAUGAUAUAUCAAAACGUAUCUAAUACUUGUUAAAUGAUAGUAUAAUGUAAAUUACAUCCAUUAUUGAAAAAACAUUUGUUGUUUUUAUUUUUAUUUUAAAUCAGAAAUUAUUUUUAUUUAAAAACAUUAUUCAUAUAUAAUAUAAUAGUUUAAGUUUAGAAGAUUAAUAUAUAUAUAUAUAUAUAAAUUAUGUGUAUUUUUUAAAAAUAAUUUAAGAUAUUAUAUAUUGAGUAUAUGAAUAAAAGCUGAAUUUCUUACCUUGAAAUCAGAUAUUUAUAUUUUUUAUCUUCAUGUUAUACUCCACCAAUCCAUCAUUGAUAUUUAUAACUCAGUAUGUUUUUUUAAAAAACUUAUUUUAAGUAAUAAACGAAUUUAAUAAAUUAAAUUCAUCACCUAUAAUGUUCUGUAAACUAUAUUUGAAAACUCUCUAAAUUAUAUUUUAAGCAUAAUAUUAUUAUUAUUUAAUUUAAGUUAUUUUAAACAUAAUAUAUGCUAAACCAACUUAAAUUAUAUUUAUAAUAGGACCAUCCUAAACCGGUUAGUAAACCAAAAACAAUACUAAACCAACAUGAACCAAUACCUGAUUCGGCGAGGAAUGAAGUGUUUCGGGAUAAACGCUUGAAUGAUUAUUAACUGAAAUGGUUUGAUCAUGAAAGAGUUAGUAUGAAUAUUAACAAUAAAAUUAUACAUUAGAUUAAUUUAAAUUUGUAAGAAUACCUUUGAGUCUAUGAAAAGCAAUUCAAUUCCCAUGAAUAAGUUUGGUUUUGGAAGUUGCGGGUUUCCCAACAAUGAAUCCACCUAACAAAAAGUUUGUUGUUAUAAAAAAAUCUCAUUCAAGGUCAUUAAAGGUUUCUGGGACGGCAAGUUGAUAGUGAAACCUUUUUUUUGCUCGAGUGCUUUGAAAUUUUCCUUAAUAGUGUGAGGUUGAUGUGGAUGGAAUAAUGAGUUUUAUAGGGACUUUCUUGAUGUAAAACUAUAAUUUUUUUUUUGUUUAAUGUGGUAUUUCCAUUUUUAUAUAAUUUACUACCAUUUUAAGAUAGAAGUACAUUUUAAGAUAGAUGCUUAAAUCUUAAUGUACUUUUUCCAUUUUUUAAAAUGUUUAUUUCCAUUUCUUAUAUUUUUAUUUACGUAAUAUCAAUAUUUAUAUUUUUAAAUAGAUAUUUAAAUAUUAAUGUUUUUUCCAUUUUUUAAAUUGUGUAUUUACUUAUAUUAUAUAUUUUACAUUUUAAGAUAGAUGUUUAAUGCUUGAUGAACUUUUUCCACUUUUUAAAAAUUGUGUAUUUACUUAUUAUUACAUAUAUAAUUCAUAUAUUAUAUAUUUACAUUAUUUACUUAUUAUUUAUUUUCAUGUAUAUGUAUUUCCAUUUCUUGUACUUUUAAUUUACUUAAUAUCUCUAUUUUACAUUUUAAGAUAGAUGUUUAAAUCUUAUGUAUGUUUUCCAUUUUUUUAAAUUGUAUAUUUCCAUUUGUUAUACUUUCUAUUUACGUAAUAUCUAUUUUAAAUUUUAAUAUAUAUUUUUAACUCUUAAUGUAAUUUCCCAUUUUUUAAUUUGGUAUUCACUUAUAUUAUAUAUUUACUUAUUAUUUAUUUUCUUUAUAUUGUGUAUUUCUAUUUCUUAUACUUUCUAUUUACUAAUAAUUUUAUAUUUCAAGAUUGAUUUACAUUUUAAGAUAGAUGUUUAAAUACUAAUGUAUUUUUUCCAUUUUUUUUAAUUGUGUAUUUCCUUUUUCUUAUACUUUCUAUUUACUUAAUAUUUAUAUUUUACAUUUUAAGAUAGAUGUUUAAUAUUUAAUGUACUCUUUCCAUUUUUUAAAAAUUGUGCAUUUACUUAUUAUUGUAUAUAUAAUUCGUAUAUUUAUAUAUUUAUAAUAUUUACUUAUUAUUUAUUUUUCUAUAUAUUGAGUAUUUCUCUUUCUUAUACUUUAUAUUUAGUUAAUGUCUAUAUUUUAUAUUUUAAGAUAGAUGUUUAAAUCUUUACGUAUUUUUCCAUUUUUAAUGUAAAACGGCAAUGUUUAAUAGAAGAACUUGGACAAAUAGUCAAAUAGUUAUAUUUAUUUUUUUUUUUCUUUUUUUAAUAAAAAGGUAAUGUUACAUUAUGAAGCUAACCCGUUUUUUAGUGAACAAUGGUAAUCUUACAUAUGUUUAAUGUAGUUUUUCCAUUUUUUUAUGUUGUAUGUUUACAUAUUAUUGUUAUUUUUAAAUGUAAAAUGGUAAUUUACAUAUGUUUAAUGCAGUAUUUCCAUUUUUUAUGUUGUAUGUUUACAUAUUAUUUAUUAUUUUCGAAAUUAUAUAUAAUUUUUUUUUUACAAAAUAGUAAUGUUACAUUAUGGAGAUAAGCCGUCUUUUUUUUCAGUGAAAAAUGGUAAUCUUACAUAUGUUUAAUGUAGUUUUUUCAUUUUUUAUGUUGUAUGUUUACAUAUUAUUUUCUUAAAAUAAAAAUGUAAAAUGCUAAUCUUACAUAUGUUUAAUGUAGUAUUUUCAUUUUUAUGUUGUAUGUUUUACAUAUAUUUAUUAUUUUCAAAAUUAUAUAUAAUGUUUUUUGUUUUUUUUUAUAAAACGGUAAUGUUACAUUAUGGAGAUAAGCCGUCUUUUUUUUAAGUGAAAAAUAGUAAUCUUACAUAUGUUUAAUGUAGUUUUUACAUUUUUUUAUGCUGUAUGUUUACAUAUUUUUUAUAAUUUUCGAAAAUAAGUAAUAUUAAAAUGUAAAACUAUAUUUUAAUGCCAUGUGUCAUCUUUCGAGAUUAUAUUUUAUAUUUACUUAUUAUUUAUUUUUCUUUAUAUUGUGUAUUUUUAUUUCUUAUACUUUCUAUUUACUAAUAAUUUUAUAUUUUAAGAUUGAUUUACAUUUUAAGGUAGAUGUUUAAAUACUAACGUAAUUUUUCCAUUUUUUUAAAUUGUGUAUUUCCUUUUCUUAUACUUUCUAUUUGCGUAAUAUCUAUAUUUUACAUUUUAAGAUAAAUGUUUAAAUCUUAAUAUACAUUUUCCAUUGUUUUUAAGUUGUGUAUUUCUUUUUCUUAUAUUUUCUAUUUACUUAAUAUCUAUAUUUUACAUUUUAAUAUAGAUGUUUAAUAUUUAAUAUAUUCUUUCCAUUUUUAAAAAAUUGUGCAUUUACUUAUUAUUGUAUAUAUAAUUCGUAUAUUUAUAUAUUUAUAAUAUUUACUUAUUAUUUAUUUUUUUAUAUAUUGAGUAUUUCUCUCUUUUAUACUUUAUAUUUAGUUAAUGUCUAUAUUUUAUAUUUUAAGAUAGAUGUUUAAAUCUUUACGUAUUUUUCUAUUUUUAAUGUAAAACGGCAAUGUUUAAUAGAAGAACUUGGACAAAUAGUCAAACAUAUUUAUGUUUAAUGUAGUAUUUCCAUUUUUAUGUUGUAUGUUUUACAGAUAUUUAUUAUUUUCGAAAUUAUAUAUAAUGUUUUUUUUUUUUUUUAUAAAACGGUAAUGUUACAUUAUGGAGAUAAGCCGUCUUUUUUUUUAAGUGAAAAAUAGUAAUCUUACAUAUGUUUAAUGUAGUUUUUCCAUUUUUUAAUGCUGUAUGUUUACAUAUUUUUUACAAUUUUCGAAAAUAAUUAAUAUUAAAAUGUAAAACUAUAUUUUAUGGCACGUGUCAUCUUUCGGGAGAAAUGUUUUCCGCUGAUGUGGACGCCCUAUGGAGCCUCAAAAGCUCCCUUUUAUUAGUAGAGUUUAUUCUUAUACUUUCUAUUUACUAAUAAUUUUAUAUUUUAAGUUUGAUUUACAUUUUAAGAUAGAUGUUUAAAUACUAAUGUACUUUUUCCAUUUUUUUAAAUUGUGUAUUUCCUUUUCUUAUACUUUCUAUUUGCGUAAUAUCUAUAUUUUACAUUUUAAGAUAGAUGUUUAAAUCUUAAUAUACUUUUUCCAUUGUUUUUAAGUUGUGUAUUUCUUUUUCUUAUAUUUUUCUAUUUACUUAAUAUCUAUAUUUUACAUUUUAAGAUAGAUGUUUAAUAUUUAAUAUACUCUUUCCAUUUUAAAAAAAUUGUGCAUUUACUUAUUAUUGUAUAUAUAAUUCGCAUAUUUAUAUAUUUAUAAUAUUUACUUAUUAUUAUUUUUUAUAUAUUGAGUAUUUCUCUUUUUUAUACUUUAUAUUUAGUUAAUGUUUAUAUUUUAUAUUUUAAGAUAGAUGUUUAAAUCUUUACGUAUUUUUCUAUUUUUAAUGUAAAACGGCAAUGUUUAAUAGAAGAACUUGGACAAAUGGUCAAACAUAUUUAUGUUUAAUGUAGUAUUUCCAUUUUUAUGUUGUAUGUUUUACAUAUAUUUAUUAUUUUCGAAAUUAUAUAUAAUGUUUUUUGUUUUUUUUUUAUAAAACGGUAAUGUUACAUUAUGGAGAUAAACCGUCUUUUUUCAAGUGAAAAAUAGUAAUCUUACAUAUGUUUAAUGUAGUUUUUCCAUUUUUUAAUGUUGUAUGUUUACAUAUUUUUUACAAUUUUCGAAAAUAAUUAAUAUUAAAAUGUAAAACUAUAUUUUAUGCCACGUGUCAUCUUUCGAGAAAAUUUUUUUCCGCUGAUGUGGACGCCCUAUGGAGCCUCAAAAGCUCCCUUUUAUUAGUAGAGAUUUGCGAUACUUAAUUUGUUUAAAUCUAUUUUUGGAAAAUAACAACUAGUAUGUUCCCCGAUUUAAAGAAAUUUUUAUAAUGUUGACAAAAAAAAAAAAAAAUUUAUCGUCUAAUGUCAAAAAAAAAAAAAGGAAAUUUUUAUCGUCCAAACACAAGAAAAUUUUUAGUUGAUGAAUGUUGUUCAUAAAUCGUAACUAUAUAUGUAAAACAAGAAUUAUCAAAAAAAUUCAGAAAAUUUAAUUAUAAGAGUUUUCAGAAAAAUUCUGAAAGCUUUUUGGAAACUUCUACAAGAUUUCAAAAGGUUUAUCAAGUCUCGGAAUUUUCUUAGGUAAUUAAAAAUUAUCAAUAUAGACUAAAACUACUAUCACAUAUUGGAUGGACCUGGUACUAUGUACAAACUGAUAUGAGCUAACUUAUAUUGCAUGCUCAGAUGUUGAGAACAGUUCAUAUGAUUUAAAAUAGGCUCAUCACUUUCUUGAAUUAGCUAUGACAUGUGUUAAUCAAUCCUUCUUCUUUGGAAAGACCAAAUAUGUCACAUGUAGUUCGUGACCG